rnacentral:rRNA from 1 species
UACAGAGGCCUCGAGCGUUAGGCGGAAUCACUGGGCGUAAAGGGUGCGUAGGCGGGUCUUUAAGUCAGAGGUGAAAUCCUGGAGCUCAACUCCAGAACUGCCUUUGAUACUGAGGAUCUUGAGUUCGGGAGAGGUGAGUGGAACUGCGAGUGUAGAGGUGAAAUUCGUAGAUAUUCGCAAGAACACCAGUGGCGAAGGCGUCUCACUGGCCCGGUACUGACGCUGAGGUGCGAAAGCGUGGGGAGCAAACAGG